rnacentral:lncRNA from 1 species
GUUCAUCUAUCAAUAUAUGUGGAUGUGUGUAUGCUCGAGUCAUCAAAUCAUAUUUUUUCCGCAAACAUAGUGUGUAUUGUAACUACUUUCUUAUUAUUUCUUGAAAAUCCUAUGCAAGAAACGCUAGUGAUAUAUUGAGAGUUGAGUUGAGAGCGGUGAAAUUAAUCCAUCUAACUUGAUGUUGUAUAUUGUACAUAGUUUGCCUUUCCCCUUAAUAUUGUACCUUAAAGCAAACCCACCCUCCCUCUCUCUCUCUCUCCCUCUGUCUUUGAUGUUCUUGUUUUGUAUCUUCUUGCAGGUUGAGGGACCAAAAUCUCCUGAAGAAAUGCUUACAGUGUUGCAGAGAGUGCUUGAAGAAAGCUCUACUGUUCUUGUU